rnacentral:rRNA from 1 species
GACGAACGCUGGCGGCGUGCUUAACACAUGCAAGUCGAACGGAAAGGCUCCAGCUUGCUGGAGUACUCGAGUGGCGAACGGGUGUGUAACACGUGGGUAAUCUGCCCUGCACUCUGGGAUAAGCCUGGGAAACUGGGUCUAAUACUGGAUAUGACCUUUCUCCUUAUGGGUUUUGGUGGAAAGUUUUUCGGUGUAGGAUGAGCCCGCGGCCUAUCAGCUUGGUGGUGGGGUGAUGGCCUACCAAGGCGACGACGGGUAGCCGGCCUGAGAGGGUGAUCGGCCACAUUGGGACUGAGAUACGGCCCAGACUCCUACGGGAGGCAGCAGUGGGGAAUAUUGCACAGUGGGCGGAAGCCUGAUGCAGCGACGCCGCGUGAGGGAUGACGGCCUUCGGGUUGUAAACCUCUUUCAGCAGGGACGAAGCGUAAGUGACGGUACCUGCAGAAGGAGCACCGGCUAACUACGUGCCAGCCGCCGCCGUAA